UCACAUUCCAUUGCGGCGCAGGAAAAAAAAAAGGGGGGGGAUUUAGAGCGACUUAUUUCCUUUAAAUCGUCCUCCGGUCCGCCGAGCUAGUCAGUCUGUUGCCGUGAGGAUCUCGCAGGCCUCCGCAGAAGUGCACCAGGGAGAGAAACACCAAGGAGCAAAGGGAGAUGGUAGAGGCAUCACCUGGGGAGGACAUCCGGCUGGAGAUGAGGACAAAUGAUGGAAGAAGACGAAGGAGGGGAGAGGAAGAAGAAAAAAAUAAAGCUACGAUGAAUCAUUUGAUGUUCCCUCAUUUACUAAGGACCAGAGUCAAAGGUGUCGUGACAGCUGGGAGGAAUGCUUUUCAGCCAGAACAAACUUCCUAGAGUCGGCCACGUCCCUUCGGACUGCUUUCGAUCGGCAUGAGGUCCACGCGUGGAUCCAGAAGUUGGAUUUGUCUCGGAUCCGAGAGGAGGAGGAGGAAAGUUUUGCUGGCGAAAAAAAAAAAGAGCUGCAACACAUGCAGGAGCUCGCAAGCAAACAAGUGCAAGCGGUGAACACAGUCCGAUCCUCCACUAGAAGUCAAGGUCAAGACGGGCUGACGGAGACAAACGAGCAGGGGGGAGACUCGCUGUUAACAUUAUGAGAACUGUCUGGAGGUGGAGGAAGGUUUGCAUGAAGAUGCCCCUUCAAUGCUCAGCUUUAAAACUCUCAAACUGUGUAUUCUGUAAUUGCCUGUGAGUGAAGCCAAAUUAAUUGACUGUGACUGUUUUUGUAAUUAAACUUCAAUGCGAAAAAAACCCCAAAAAAAAAAACAUUGUUGCUAGCACUGUUGCAGGUUUACCCUGCAUCCCCUCGCCAUUAGUAGCCCCUCUUCCUGUGCGCUCUGAGGAGUCUGCACGGCGUGGUAAAACCUGCCCCGCAGACCGGACCUUCCCCCGUCUUCAAAGCAGGAAGAACUCAAUGCGAGGGGGAUUUGUUCAGGCUUAUUUGGUAACCUAGGAUUUGAAUUGGAUUCUUGGAGGCAUUCACGACACAUGUGAAAAAUGUUACAUUGUGCGAUUUUGUGUGUAAUCCCCAUAAUAAAUUUUUAGAAAUGGUCG